GAUGAAGAACGCAGCGAAAUGCGAUAAGUAAUGUGAAUAGCAGAAUUCAGUGAAUCAUCGAAUCUUUGAACGCACAUUGCGCCCGCUAGUAUUCUGGCGGGCAUGCCUGUCCGAGCGUCAUUUCAACCCUCAAGCCCCCGGGCUUGGUGUUGGGGAUCGGCGAGCCUCCGCGCCCGCCGUCCCCUAAAUCUAGUGGCGGUCUCGCUGUAGCUUCCUCUGCGUAGUAGCACACCUCGCACUGGGAAACAGCGCGGCCACGCCGUUAAACCCCCAACUUCUGAACGUUUGACCUCGGAUCAGGUAGGAAUACCCGCUGAACUUAAGCAUAUCAAUAAGCGGAGGA
rnacentral:misc_RNA from 1 species